rnacentral:lncRNA from 1 species
CUCAUUCCCACACUUCCUUGACAUCUUUGCUCAAAUGUCACCGUAUUUAAAAUUGUAUCUGCUCUGGCUCCCAGCUCUCCUGGUUCCCCUUAGCCUGCUCUCUUUUUCCCACUGCAUCACCACUAACCUACCAGGAACUCCAGUGACAGGUAGAGGGCCACAACAUAUGAUGAUAAGGACAAUCAUCUGAAGCCUUGGAUGACUGCCCUACUUUGGAGGAAGCCUGCUUUGGAGUAUUGCAAUGAAUGAAUGAAUGAGCAACCCACCCUGCUUUGCAGGAAACAUCGCAAUGGGACACACUCUGCAGCCAGACCCAAGGCCACGGCCAGAAACAAGAAAGGGUACACAAUUUGUGGAGUGUGGCUGUGAGCGGAGGUGAGCUGCAGCAAGAAUGGUAACGAACCAGGAGACAAAAGACCCGGAUUUUGCUUGUUACUCAGCAGUCCCCGCAUCGGCUAAAUGCAACUGCAAAGCAAGAUCAUUCAAAGACUAUUAAGAACUUGAGAGCUGAAAUCUCAAAAAAUAGAGGAAUCAAAAUUACCAGUGUGGGAAAAAUCAAAAUUUUGUUAGACCUCUUCAUGCUUAUUUUAUGAUUUUGCAUUGCAUUUGUGUUUAUUUGUGCACUGGGGAGUUGAGUGUUAGUAGUUGGCAUGCAAACUUUUUGAUGCCUAGGACUUCUAAAGGUCGGUCUCACCUGGACUUUAUCCUAGAAACUUCCAUCUUCCAUCUAAUUCUUGGCAAGUCUGAGGCCCAGUUUUCUUCUUUGAUGUUGGACAAGGUUUGAUGGAGUGAGGGGUAUGACAUGGGGAUCAGAUGAGGUUUAAACUUAAAAAAUCUGGGAUCUCAACUAAUUUUGACUCUUACAUGCUUCCUCCAAGAAAGAGAGAUUGCUGAUAUACACAAUAUAUGGAUUGGUUAAAAGAAGAGCCAUAUUUCAGAAGACUAGCCUGAUUGAAAAAGUCUUCUGAAAUCAGAAAACCAUUUUAACUGCAGGCAGAGGAGGCUUUGUUGGCACUUGGAGUCUACAAAGUGUGAAAAGAGAAUAGGUGGGUUUAACCUUAGGAACUAUUCCCAGAGAUCUCUUAAUACUUCUUGUUAGAGAUGUGGGAAGGAUUGUUUUAAGUAUUUCCAGUGAGAACGUCAUUGCAAUUUCAGGUCUGGAAAACAAAGGAAUACUUGAAAAAAAAUGCAGAUCCACAAUUGAUUUUUGCAAGCUUUGGUGUUCUCAUACCUGGAGGCAAGACCUAUAGGAAAUGGAUCUUCCAGUGCUUCAUGCACCAUGUAGGAGAGCCAGGCCUCUGUUUCAUAUUAGAUCACUGAUGCAGAACCAUGAUGUAGAGGUGUGUUCUCCUUCUCAUUGGGCUUUCUUUUGUGUAUUUUAUGUAAAGACUCUGUUAAGACCUCGACUCCUUAAAAUAGGAUUUCCAGUAUCUUCCACCCAAGAGAAAGAAAUUUAUGCCAAUCCUUUUCUGCCUGGCUAGUUAACCCUGGGUAAAAUCACUCCACCUAUACACACUUGUGAAACUAGCCAAGGGGUCCCCGCAGCAGUC